CAAAAUGUUGCAGAGGAUGGAAACUUGUAGCUGGCCUGACUGUGUCUGUGUAUGAGCUGAAGUUGAGCUUGUCGGAAACCCUGUGACCAAGAGCAUUGGUAGUCCUGCUGUUGCAAUGACAGUGAUUCGGUCUCAGGUUUUAAAAGCAGAAACAAAUCGUCCAGGAGUUCAGAAGACAUUUCUCCUCUCCAGGAGCAACACUAAGGAUUACUAACGGGAAGAGCCAUGCUUCGUUGCUCUUUGCUCGUUCCUUCAUUCUUGAAAAUGCAUUCGGUUCAUCCUAGCUACAAUUCUGAGCAGGGAGGCAGAGCCAGGCCAACAAGAAAACAACAUCAGCCAGGAUAAGAAUGUUCUGCACAGUGAUGUCUUUCCAGUUCUGCCGUCCAGAAGACCCAGUACAACAGAUGCCCAACGCUCAAUGGCUUUGUUUUAUUAGUUUGCGGGGGUGGGGG
rnacentral:lncRNA from 10 species